CUCCAGGGCAGCUGUGAUUGUCUCUCUUCAGUUUUCUCUUCUAUACACUUGGGAGCUCUUUUGUGUACAAGGGUGGAGAGGUUCAAUGCCCAGCUCUGCAGUAUUGCCUUGGAGGUGUCUCCUUCUGGCUUUUGUGCCUUGUUUCAUGGGGAGCCUCUCAACAGAGUGGAUUUAACGUGGGGCAAUUCUUGGAGCUUCCCUCCCAGCCUGGUGCUCCAUGGAGUGGGUUGGGCUGAGGGAUUUUGGCAAACAGCAGUGAGCUUCCAGAGCAAGGAGAGAAAGGCAGCAGGUGGGAGAAACUACUGGAGAAAGGAAAUCCAUCUGAGGAAAGAGAAAAGCCCCCUUGUCACCUGGGAUGUGGAGAAUGAAAGUGCCUUCAAUACACCCACUUGAUGCAUUGCUGAAGCCCUGCACAGUUCAUCAGCCCAGCACAGCUUCAGAGGAGCUGGGAU